rnacentral:tRNA from 1 species
GCCGAGGUAGCUCAGUUGGUAGAGCACCCGCCUUGUAAGCGGGAGCGCGUGGGUUCGACCCCCAUCCUCGGCU